AGAGUUUGAUCAUGGCUCAGAUUGAACGCUGGCGGCAGGCCUAACACAUGCAAGUCGAACGGUAACAGAAAGCAGCUUGCUGCUUUGCUGACGAGUGGCGGACGGGUGAGUAAUGUCUGGGAAACUGCCCGAUGGAGGGGGAUAACUACUGGAAACGGUAGCUAAUACCGCAUAACGUCGCAAGACCAAAGAGGGGGACCUUCGGGCCUCUUGCCAUCGGAUGUGCCCAGAUGGGAUUAGCUAGUAGGUGGGUAAAGGCUCACCUAGGCGACGAUCCCUAGCUGGUCUGAGAGGAUGACCAGCCACACUGGAACUGAGACACGGUCCAGACUCCUACGGGAGGCAGCAGUGGGGAAUAUUGCACAAUGGGCGCAAGCCUGAUGCAGCCAUGCCGCGUGUAUGAAGAAGGCCUUCGGGUUGUAAAGUACUUUCAGCGGGGAGGAAGGGAGUAAAGUUAAUACCUUUGCUCAUUGACGUUACCCGCAGAAGAAGCACCGGCUAACUCCGUGCCAGCAGCCGCGGUAAUACGGAGGGUGCAAGCGUUAAUCGGAAUUACUGGGCGUAAAGCGCACGCAGGCGGUUUGAUAAGUCAGAUGUGAAAUCCCCGGGCUCAACCUGGGAACUGCAUCUGAUACUGGCAAGCUUGAGUCUCGUAGAGGGGGGUAGAAUUCCAGGUGUAGCGGUGAAAUGCGUAGAGAUCUGGAGGAAUACCGGUGGCGAAGGCGGCCCCCUGGACGAAGACUGACGCUCAUGUGCGAAAGCGUGGGGGAGCAAACAGGAUUAGAUACCCUGGUAGUCCA
rnacentral:rRNA from 1 species